rnacentral:rRNA from 1 species
GGGGAAUAUUGGGCAAUGGGGGAAACCCUGACCCAGCAACGCCGCGUGAGUGAAGAAGUCCUUCGGAUUGUAAACCUCUGUCGCAAGGGACGAAGAAGGGACGGUACCUUGUGAGGAAGCCCCGGCUAACUACGUGCCAGCAGCCGCGGUAAUACGUAGGGGGCGAGCGUUGUCCGGAAUUACUGGGCGUAAAGGGUGCGUAGGCGGCUAAUUAAGUUGGAUGUGAAAUACCCGGGCUUAACUUGGGGGGUGCAUUCAAAACUGGUUGGCUAGAGUUCAGGAGAGGGAAGCGGAAUACCUAGUGUAGCGGUGAAAUGCGUAGAUAUUAGGAGGAACACCAGUGGCGAAGGCGGCUUUCUGGACUGACACUGACGCUGAUGCACGAAAGCGUGGGGAGCAAACA